rnacentral:rRNA from 1 species
UACGUAGGGUGCGAGCGUUGUCCGGAAUUAUUGGGCGUAAAGAGCUCGUAGGCGGUGUGUCACGUCUGCCGUGAAAACCUGCAGCUUAACUGUGGGCGUGCGGUCGAUACGGGCAUCACUGGAGUUCGGCAGGGGAGACUGGAAUUCCUGGUGUAGCGGUGAAAUGCGCAGAUAUCAGGAGGAACACCGGUGGCGAAGGCGGGUCUCUGGGCCGAUACUGACGCUGAGGAGCGAAAGCGUGGGGAGCGAACAGG